UCUAUUUUCGUGCUUGCUCUGUUCUUGUGCCCUUUCUUCGUUGCUUGCUGCACUAUCCGUUUCUCAUCCCCCAUUCCAUUGCCUCUACGUUUUCCAAUCAUAGGUAUGACUUCUUCUUCCGCUUCGUCUUCUGGUCUUGUUUUUAGGCGUCACCAUCAAGGUCCAACGGUGACGUGGGGGGUCCCCUUCUAGGUGAGGGCUCCUCCCUAAAUACUCCUAGAGAGAGGGUCUGCACAUAGCCUCUCUCCGUCGCGCCUCCUAUGAUGGCCUCUACUAGGGUUUUCAUCGUAGUUCAGAAGAAAAAGAAAUUGGUCAGAAGUAGGGCGGUUGCUCUUCUUGUAACUCAGCCUGAGUCAGCUGCUCUUGUGGCCCGGGGGAGGAGUCGCUUCCCCCAUUCUCAACAAGGUGGCCUCUUACGCCUUUGAGUAUCUUAUCGAGGUACGGUUGUCCUAGUUGAUGUCUACAUUUAACUUCUGCCCUGAGAGGCUUAUUGUCUUGCCUUCUUCUCUGGGUGAAAGGGUCUUUUCUCGUCCCGCUGAGGAGGACGAGGUCUUUACAUACGUUUAUCAGUAUUUCCGUGAUUUUGACAUUUCCUUCCCUUUAUUUGGAUUUGAAGCUAAUCUUCUAUCAAUAAUGCUUGUAGCCCUGAGUUAGCUUCACCCCAAUACUUAGGGCUUUGUAAAGGCUUUCAAGAUCAUCCGUGAGCAUCUCAGCCUGACCCCCACACCCCGUAUGUUCAUAUAUUUUUAUCAGAUGUAACACAGGGAUAAAGUUUGCUGGGUCUCCUUCAAUGGCGCUCCCGGCCACGGAUCGUUAUUCACCGUGUACUCUUAAUAGUUCAAGAACUUCAAAGACAAGUUCUUCAAUUUGAAACUUGCUUCCACUGAGUCUGCGGUGCAGUACUUCCUGCAUCCAGGGACUCACAAGCCCUCAGUGUUGAAGGGUGUCCUGAGUGCCGAGGAGGUUAUGUCGUUCGGAGGUUUCGACUACCAGUCCUGGAAAGCUCUGCACUUGAAGAAAUAGAAGGGAAAGAUUGUCCAGUCUCCUAGUGCUACUUCUCAUGCCGCAAAGAAACAGAAGAUUGGUCUGCCUGCACCUACAUGGGACCGCCAAUUAGCCAAGGUGGUUCCUGCCUCUCCCUCAAAGAUAUCCACGAGCGGGCCAGUCGUGGAGACCGAGGUGGUGGACUUAUCAUCCGGCGACGCCUUUGGAAAACGUGUGGAGGGUGGUUGUGGGCCGAUUGUCCAAGUUAGAACGUCGUCUGUUGGUCCCUUUACCAUGCCGACCUUUUGCACGAGGUUCAUCCCUGGCUUCGCUGGCAAGGGACCCAUCUUUCGCUUAGAGCAUGCCUCCGCCACAACACCAAAUGUGGAAUUGUUGUGACAUCUGGGUAUGCAGGGGAGCGAUAUGGAGAGCGAGCACCUGUCGAGCCCCUACUAUCGAUAGAUGUUUAGGACCCUGGAACAUACGGCAAGGUGAUGUUGGAGUGGGUUCUAUACAUCGUGCGCGUAGCGAGGAUUACAUGGAAGAGCGACAAAGGUGGAUGGGCCAACUAGAGGAAAAGGAGAAGGAUAGGCUUGGGUAGGAGGUAGCUUUGAAUGUUGCCAACCAAAAGCUGAAAGAGAUGGAUGCGGAGCUUGGCAAGCUGAAGGCAUAGGCAACCUGAUCUGCAGAGAGUCUGCAAAGCGCUACGAGCUGAGGCGGGUGUGCUGAAAGCUACCAACGAGGUCCUUGCUAAGCAGGUGUUGGACAAGGACGAAAAGUUGACUAAGCACGCCAAUCGCCUUGUUGGGCUGGCAAUGGAGAAGUGUAGCCUGGAAUAGGGUCUGGACAAGGCUAAGGCUGCCUCCAAGCUGCUAACCAGGGGAAUCGCCGACCUUGAAGCCGACGUCUAUCGGUUGAAGGAGGAGACUACGACACUUACGGCGGGAGGACUGGAGGCCUAUGCAACAAGUUUUUAGAAGGCUAAGAGGCAUACCGCCCUCCUUUUCCUUGGUCUUGACUUGAGGAAAAUUGAUAUGGACAAAGAGAUUGUGGAUGGAGCCCAUGUCGGAGAAGAGGCCGUUCAGGAUCUCUCCCCAGUCCAGGUGCGCCUUGUUGAGGUCGAUAGCGAGAUUUGUAGUGUAGGGUAAUUGAUGUAAAUGUUUGAAUGCUUGUAAUGUACUUGGGACUUGCGGCUUUGCUUUUGUGAAUAUAAUAUUUGUUUUUUCUGCUAA